GGAAUAUUGGACAAUGGGCGAAAGCCUGAUCCAGCCAUGCCGCGUGUGUGAAGAAGGUCUUCGGAUUGUAAAGCACUUUAAGUUGGGAGGAAGGGCAGUAAGUUAAUACCUUGCUGUUUUGACGUUACCAACAGAAUAAGCACCGGCUAACUUCGUGCCAGCAGCCGCGGUAAUACGAAGGGUGCAAGCGUUAAUCGGAAUUACUGGGCGUAAAGCGCGCGUAGGUGGUUCAGCAAGUUGGAUGUGAAAUCCCCGGGCUCAACCUGGGAACUGCAUCCAAAACUACUGAGCUAGAGUACGGUAGAGGGUGGUGGAAUUUCCUGUGUAGCGGUGAAAUGCGUAGAUAUAGGGAGGAACACCAGUGGCGAAGGCGACCACCUGGACUGAUACUGACACUGAGGUGCGAAAGCGUGGGGAGCAAACAGGA
rnacentral:misc_RNA from 1 species